rnacentral:rRNA from 1 species
AUACGGAGGGAGCGAGCGUUAAUCGGAAUUACUGGGCGUAAAGCGCGCGUAGGCGGCUUUGUAAGUCGGAUGUGAAAGCCCCAGGCUCAACCUGGGAACUGCGCUUGAUACUGGUAGACUAGAGGCCGGGAGAGGGUAGUGGAAUUCCCAGUGUAGAGGUGAAAUUCGUAGAUAUUGGGAGGAACAUCAGUGGCGAAGGCGACUUCCUGGACUAACAUUGACGCUGAGGUGCGAAAGCGUGGGGAGCAAACAGGAUUAGAAACCCCAGUAGUCC